rnacentral:rRNA from 1 species
CAAUUGAAUGAUUAGUGUCUGCUUGCAGAACUUGCAUACAGGUGCUGCACGGCUGUCGUCAGCUCGUGUCGUGAGAUGUUGGGUUAAGUCCCGCAACGAGCGCAACCCUCGUCCUUAGUUGCUAACAGUUCGGCUGAGAACUCUAAGGAGACUGCCUACGCAAGUAGGAGGAAGGUGAGGAUGACGUCAAGUCAUCAUGGCCCUUACGUCCAGGGCUACACACGUGCUACAAUGGGGUAUACAAAGAGCAGCAAUACGGUGACGUGGAGCAAAUCUCAAAAAUGCCUCCCAGUUCGGAUUGUAGUCUGCAACUCGACUACAUGAAGUUGGAAUCGCUAGUAAUCGUAGAUCAGCUAUGCUACGGUGAAUACGA